rnacentral:rRNA from 1 species
AGUCAAUAGAUACCCGGUAGUCCAUGCCGUAAACGAUGAUUGCUAGGUGUGGGGGGUCUGACCCCUUCCGUGCCGGAGUUAAACACAAAUAAGCAAUCCACCUGGGGAGUACGGCCGCAAGGUUGAAACUCAAAGGAAUUGACGGGGGCCCGCACAAGCAGUGGAGUAUGUGGUUUAAUUCGAAGCAACGCGAAGAACCUUACCAGGUCUUGACAUCCACCGAAUCCUGUAGAGAUAUGGGAGUGCCUUUCGGGGAACGGUGAGACAGGUGGUGCAUGGUUGUCGUCAGCUCGUGUCGUGAGAUGUUGGGUUAAGUCCCGCAACGAGCGCAACCCUUGUGAAUAGUUGCUACGAAAGAGCACUCUAUUCAGACCGCCGUUGACAAAACGGAGGAAGGUGGGGAUGACGUCAAAUCAUCAUGCCCCUUAUGACCUGGGCUACACACGUACUACAAUGGUCGUCAACAGAGGGAAGCAAGACCGCGAGGUGGAGCGAACCCCUAAAAACGAUCUCAGUUCAGAUUGCAGGCUGAAACUCGCCUGC